GUGGGGAAUAUUGGACAAUGGGCGAAAGCCUGAUCCAGUCAUGCCGCGUGUGUGAAGAAGGUCUUCGGAUUGUAAAGCACUUUAAGCGAGGAGGAGGCUACCGAGAUUAAUACUCUUGGAUAGUGGACGUUACUCGCAGAAUAAGCACCGGCUAACUUCGUGCCAGCAGCCGCGGUAAUACGAAGGGUGCAAGCGUUAAUCGGAAUUACUGGGCGUAAAGCGCGCGUAGGGGGUUUUGUAAGUUGGAGGUGAAAUCCCCGGGCUCAACCUGGGAACUGCCUCCAAAACUGCAAGACUAGAGUACGGUAGAGGGUAGUGGAAUUUCCGGUGUAGCGGUGAAAAGCGUAGAUAUAGGAAGGAACACCAGUGGCGAAGGCGACUACCUGGACUGAUACUGACACUGAGGUGCGAAAGCGUGGGGAGCAAACAGGAUUAGAAACCCUUGUAGUCC
rnacentral:rRNA from 1 species